rnacentral:rRNA from 1 species
CCUACGGGCGGCAGCAGUGGGGAAUAUUGCACAAUGGGGGAAACCCUGAUGCAGCGACGUCGCGUGAGUGAAGAAGUAACUCGUUAUGUAAAGCUCUAUCAGCAGGGGAGUAAAUGACGGUACGUGAGUAAGAAGCUAUGGCUAACUUCGUGCCAGCAGCCGUGGUAACACGCAGGGGGCAAGCGUUAUCCGGAUUUACUGGGUGUAAUGGGAGCGUAGACGGGAGUGCAAGUCAGGAGUGAAAGGCGGGGGCUCAACCCCCGGACUGCACUGGAAACUGUACGGCUGGAGUGCAGGAGAGGUAAGUGGAAUUCGUGGUGUAGCGGUGAAAUGCGUAGAUAUUAGGAGGAACACCGGUGGCGAAGGCGGCUUACUGGACUGUAACUGACGUUGAGGCGCGAAAGCGUGGGGAGCAAACAGGAUUAGAUACCCGAGUAGUC